CCAGAAUGUAGUGUUUCUUUUCUUCCUCCAAGCCAAAUACUGUUCGCACUGCCGCAACCUCGGACCAUCCUGAUGCUCUUCCAGAAGAAGGCGCCAGCUCCCAAGCUUCAGUCGAAGACACGCCCAAGCCCAAGCCCAACAAACCUGAUGCUCUUCCAGAAGAAGGUGCUGGCUCCCAGGCUUCAGUCGAAGACUCGCCCAAGCCCAAGCGCCGGCGCAAGCCCAACAAACCUGAUGCUGUUCCAGAAGAAGGCCCCGGCUCCCAAGCUUCAGUCGAAGACUCGCCCAAUCCCAAGCGCCGGCCCAAUCCCAACAAGACUUAAGCUGGCCCAGAAUGGAAAGUCUAGCUAUAAGAUGUAGCGACUAGUGAGCGCGUCUGAGUCUGUAUCGAACAAGGAACUCCUGAAUUCAAACUGAAUCAUUGCUCCUACCUGCUCCUUCCUCCCUGCUCUCUAUUCCCCAUUGCUCGUGCUGCUAACAAAUACUCACCGUAGCUGUGACUAAUUUUUCUUUUUUCCCCCAGCCUUUUCAUUUCUGGACAUCUGUUAUUGUAUUUGUACUGGUUCACAUACUAGUCAUGUUUGGCACAAUGUUCUUGUC